ensembl:lncRNA
AUGAUUUUACAACACUCUAUGGAUAACGAGAAAAAAAAAAACUAUCAGAUAUCUGAUUUCACUCUGUGUGAGGAAGGUGAGUGUCUGCAGCAUCCUCUCUUCAUCUUUACUGGGAAAUGUGCAGUCAUGUCUUUGCGUACAUCCAGUGGGGGGUGGUCCGAUGACCUCUUGGCUGGGGGACUCACAUCUGUUGAGGAUGGUCUCUUCUGAGGAUCCAAAGGGCUCCCUGAUGUCACCUUCUGUGUCAAUGUGUUUGUCUUCCCUGAAGAUGGUCACCCUCUCUUGGGUGUUGUGUUGUGUGUGUUUGCCAGGAUGAGAGAGGUUGCAAGUUGUGCCUGAAACUGUCUCCUGUUCAGUAUCUCUUUCUUAGUCAUCUUCAGAGCUUUACAGUCCCGCUUGUAGAGGAGCCAGGCAUUAAUCACAGCAAGGAUGAUGGUGUGUCAGAAGAUGUAAAUAUACCAGCAGUGGGAUUUCAUGGGGAACUUGUACUUGGCAGCAAAUGAGUCCAACAAAUCCACACCUCCCAUGUGUUUGUUGUAGGUACCAACAAUGUAAGGCCUCUCAACAUCAAUGAUGGUUUUGGUGGCUUUGUCCCAGCGCUGAAUCUUCUGCACAGGUUCUGGUCCAGCAAAGCAUGACACAAGUGUGACCGCUCUGUUGUCAUACCAUUUGACAGUGCAGAUGUUGUGGUUCCCCUCCACUCGGACAUCAAAGCUUCCUCUCCCCUUUUUCUUCAAGCUCUUCUCAUCUUCAAGCUUGCAGUUGGGUAGGCGUAAAACAAACAAAAAACUACAAAGAUACAGGGAGUUUCAGAUACUGUUCUAGAUGAUGGAGUUUCAAAUACCACAUACAAUUUAUUAAAUAUUAAAAAUUUAACAGAAAAGCACAUUUAGAAAUUUGUUACAGUGAAUCAUCUAACAGUAUAAAUUUCAAUUUGUGACCAUGUGAGAAGCGCAUGUAAUGUGUAAGGAGCACAGGCUAUUUUGACUACCACUCCGGCCCAAAGUUGUAGAAUUACAACAUAGACUUAACAAGCUCUAAAUCAAAUUUGAUUAAUGUUUUCCAAAAUAACUAAAUAUGUAUGUGUUCUAGACAUUGUAAUACACACACACACACACGCACACACAAAAAUAUGGAAUUUUACUUAAUUGAAUCUUGACAAAUCCAUUAAUGCAAAAAAAAAGGAGUUGAGCAGCUACAUUUCUAUCCAUAACCGUAAGUACCCGUUUUUUUUUUUGUUGCCACUGAUUGGGAAAGCCUAUUAGCAAUCACCUUCAGCUUUCCGCCAAAGUCAACUCCAUGGUCAAA